GAAAUGCGAUAAGUAAUGUGAAUUGCAGAAUUCAGUGAAUCAUCGAAUCUUUGAACGCACCUUGCGCUCCUUGGUAUUCCUUGGAGCAUGCCUGUUUGAGUAUCAUGAAAUCUUCAAAGUAAAUCUUUUGUUAACUCAAUUGGUUUCUACUUUGGUAUUGGAGGUCUUUGCAGCUUCACACCUGCUCCUCUUUGUUCAUUAGCUGGAUCUCAGUGUUAUGCUUGGUUCCACUCGGCGUGAUAAGUUAUCUAUCGCUGAGGACACUGUAAAAGGUGGCCAAGGUAAAUGCAGAUGAACCGCUUCUAAUAGUCCAUUGACUUGGACAAUACUUUUAUGAUCUGAUCUCAAAUCAGGUAGGACUGCCCGCUGAACUUAAGC
rnacentral:misc_RNA from 1 species